rnacentral:rRNA from 1 species
CGGGAGGCAGCAGUGGGGAAUAUUGCACAAUGGGGAAACCCUGAUGCAGCAACGCCGCGUGGAGGAUGACACAUUUCGGUGCGUAAACUCCUUUUAUAUGGGAAGAUAAUGACGGUACCAUAUGAAUAAGCACCCGGCUAA